UACGGAGGAUCCAAGCGUUAUCCGGAUUUAUUGGGUUUAAAGGGUGCGUAGGCGGAUUGAUAAGUUAGAGGUGAAAUGUCCGAGCUCAACUCGGGAACUGCCUCUAAUACUGUUGAUCUAGAGAGUAGAUGCGGUAGGCGGAAUGUAUGGUGUAGCGGUGAAAUGCUUAGAGAUCAUACAGAACACCGAUUGCGAAGGCAGCUUACCAACCUAUAUCUGACGUUGAGGCACGAAAGCGUGGGGAGCAAACAGG
rnacentral:rRNA from 1 species